rnacentral:rRNA from 1 species
GAUGAACGCUGGCGGCGUGCCUAACACAUGCAAGUCGAGCGAGAAGGUUAUGACGGAUUCUUCGGAUGACGGAUUAACUGGAAAGCGGCGGACGGGUGAGUAACGCGUGGGUAACCUGCCCCAUACACAGGGAUAGCCAUUGGAAACGAUGAUUAAUACCUGAUAACACAUUUUGAUCGCAUGGUUUGAAUGUCAAAGAUUUAUCGGUAUGGGAUGGACCCGCGUCUGAUUAGCUAGUUGGUAAGGUAAUGGCUUACCAAGGCGACGAUCAGUAGCCGACCUGAGAGGGUGAUCGGCCACACUGGAACUGAGACACGGUCCAGACUCCUACGGGAGGCAGCAGUGGGGAAUAUUGCACAAUGGGCGCAAGCCUGAUGCAGCAACGCCGCGUGAACGAAGAAGGCUUUUCGGGUCGUAAAAGUUCUUUUCUUAGGGAAGAAAAAUGACGGUACCUAAGGAAUAAGCACCGGCUAAAUACGUGCCAGCCGCCGCGGUAAU